AUUGAACGCUGGCGGCAUGCUUUACACAUGCAAGUCGAGCGGCAGCGCGGGGGCAACCCUGGCGGCGAGCGGCGAACGGGUGAGUAAUGCAUCGGAACGUACCCUGGAGUGGGGAUAACGCCGCGAAAGCGGCGCUAAUACCGCAUAUGCUCUGAGGAGGAAAGUGGGGGACCGCAAGGCCUCACGCUCUGGGAGCGGCCGAUGUCCGAUUAGCUAGUUGGUGGGGUAAAGGCUUACCAAGGCGACGAUCGGUAGCUGGUCUGAGAGGAUGAUCAGCCACACUGGGACUGAGACACGGCCCAGACUCCUACGGGAGGCAGCAGUGGGGAAUUUUGGACAAUGGGGGCAACCCUGAUCCAGCCAUGCCGCGUGAGUUGAAGAAGGCCUGGUUGUAAG
rnacentral:rRNA from 1 species